GCGGGUGUGAUGGAACCGGUAGACAUACAGGACUUAAAAUCCUGAGGCCGUUCGGCCGUGCGGGUUCGAGUCCCGCCACCCGUACCA
rnacentral:tRNA from 1 species